CUGCUGCCUUCCGUAGGAGUCUGGGCCGUGUCUCAGUCCCAGUGUGGCCGGCCACCCUCUCAGGCCGGCUACCCAUCGUCGCCUUGGUAGGCCAUUACCCUACCAACUAGCUAAUGGGACGCGAGUCCAUCUUUCAGCGUCAGGUCUCCCAACUUUUCCUAUAUAAACAUGCACUUAUAUAACUCAUCCGGCAUUAGCUCACCUUUCGGUAAGUUGUUCCAGUCUAAAAGGCAGGUCACUCACGUGUUACUCACCCG
rnacentral:rRNA from 1 species